UUGUCUCCACCCACCUGGACACUCGUAAUGUGGCCUUUGAGAGGAACAAAUGUGGUAUCUGGGGCUGGCGGUCUGAGAAGAUGGAAACUGUUAGCGGCUACGAGGCCAAGGUGUACAGUGCCACCAACGUGGAGCUGGUGACACGCACACGCACGGAGCACCUCUCUGAUCAGGACAAGUCGAGGAGCAAAGCGGGGAAGACUCCGUUCCAGUCCUUCCUGGGGAUGGCGCAGCAGCAUUCCUCCCACACCGGGGCCCCCGUGCAGCAGGCAGCCAGCCCCACCAACCCCACAGCCAUCUCCCCUGAGGAGUACUUCGACCCCAACUUCAGCCUGGAGUCACGGAACAUUGGCCGCCCCAUCGAGAUGUCCAGCAGAGUACAGAGGUGAGGUCUGAGAGCUGGCUGGGGACUUGCCUCGGGACAAGGGCUCUUGCAGACCCCUCUCUGGGCCUGUCAUAGUGAGGGACCCACUCCCUCGGCUGGCUUCUCUCUGGACUCCACUCCUGGAGGGCAGGAGUCAUGUCUGCCUUAUCCAUGGUCCUCAGCCCUUAGCAAGGGGCUUG
rnacentral:sRNA from 1 species